rnacentral:rRNA from 1 species
UACGUAGCAGCGAGCGUUGUUCGGAAUUACUGGGCGUAAAGAGUGUGUAGGCGGUGCUCUAAGUUCGGUGUGAAAUCUCCUGGCUUAACUGGGAGGGUGCGCCGGAAACUGGAGUGCUUGAGCGUGGGAGAGGAAAGCGGAAUUCCUGGUGUAGCGGUGAAAUGCGUAGAUAUCAGGAGGAACACCUGUGGUGUAGACGGCUUUCUGGACCAUUGCUGACGCUGAGACACGAAAGCGUGGGUAGCAAACAGG